GCUCAGUCCUGCUUUAGUGAAACACACAUGAACAAUGGUUCUUCAUUCAGUCAUCCUACUUUUGGCCUUGACAUGUGUGAGUUUUGGAGCUGAAAUCACACCAGACAGCACUGAGGAAUCUGCUGCAGUGGGUUCAACUGUUACUUUAUCCUGCAGUUAUUCCUCUGCAGACUCACUUCAAUGGUACCGUCAGUAUCCCGGAUCAGCUCCUCAGUUUCUUGUGCUCAUAAUAGAUGGUAUAAAAGAGACUAAGCCAUCUAGUGUAGAUCCCAGAUUCUCUACUAAGCUCAGAAAAGAAAAUCAAGCAACAAAAGAGAUCAGCCGUGUGGAUCUGAUCAUCUCCUCUGCUGCUGUAUCAGACUCUGCUCUGUACUACUGUGCUCUG